UACGUAGGGUGCAAGCGUUGUCCGGAAUUAUUGGGCGUAAAGAGCUUGUAGGCGGUUUGUCGCGUCUGCUGUGAAAUUUCGGGGCUCAACCCUCGAAUGCCGGUGGAUACUGUCGGGCUAGAGUGCGGAAGAGGCGAGUGGAAUUCCUGGUGUAGCGGUGAAAUGCGCAGAUAUCAGGAGGAACACCUAUUGCGAAGGCAGCUCGCUGGGACGUAACUGACGCUGAGACGCGAAAGCGUGGGGAGCAAACAGG
rnacentral:rRNA from 1 species